rnacentral:rRNA from 1 species
AUUGAACGCUGGCGGCAUGCUUUACACAUGCAAGUCGAACGGCAGCACGGGCUUCGGCCUGGUGGCGAGUGGCGAACGGGUGAGUAAUAUAUCGGAACGUACCCAGAAGUGGGGGAUAACGUAGCGAAAGGUACGCUAAUACCGCAUACGAUCUAUGGAUGAAAGCAGGGGACCGCAAGGCCUUGUGCUCCUGGAGCGGCCGAUAUCUGAUUAGCUAGUUGGUGAGGUAAAGGCUCACCAAGGCGACGAUCAGUAGCUGGUCUGAGAGGACGACCAGCCACACUGGAACUGAGACACGGUCCAGACUCCUACGGGAGGCAGCAGUGGGGAAUUUUGGACAAUGGGCGCAAGCCUGAUCCAGCAAUGCCGCGUGAGUGAAGAAGGCCUUCGGGUUGUAAAGCUCUUUUGUCAGGGAAGAAACGGUAGAGGCUAAUAUCCUUUGCUAAUGACGGUACCUGAAGAAUAAGCACCGGCUAACUACGUG